rnacentral:tRNA from 1 species
CGGGGAGUAGCUCAGCUUGGUAGAGCGCCUGCUUUGGGAGCAGGAGGUCGCAGGUUCGAAUCCUGUCUCCCCGACCA